rnacentral:rRNA from 1 species
UACGAAGGGGGCUAGCGUUGUUCGGAAUUACUGGGCGUAAAGCGUGUGCAGGCGGGGGUACAAGUGGUGUAUGAAAUUUCCCAGCUUAACUGGGAAGGGUUAUGCCAGACUGUACUUCUGGAGUGCGAGAGAGGGGCGUGGAAUUCCGGGUGUAGUGGUGAAAUGCGUAGAGAUCCGGAGGAACCCCAGAGGCGAAGGCGGCGCCCUGGCUCGCAACUGACGCUCAGACACGACAGCAUGGGGAGCGAACGGG